UUAAUGGCAUGUGACUGAAUUGUGGGAGGAAUUGUAUGAUCCUACCCCUUUUCAUUUUUAUGCUGCUUAGGAG
rfam:Haemonchus contortus, ISE/inbred ISE, WGS project CAVP01000000 data, contig: Hcontortus_22164